rnacentral:lncRNA from 1 species
GAACUUAUGUCUGUCACAAAUCCUUGUCACAACUUGAGUCCCUGUGAGAGUGAAGUCCCGAGGCCUGGUUGGAAUUCUGUUGUUGCAUUUGUGACCACAGGACUCUUGCCUCUCUCCUUUCAGCCUUGGCCCCUCCGUUGUGGGUUUGGCUCGGUACUCCCAUGUCUCCCAGCACAGCCCGUCCAAGAAAGCCCUUUAUAACAAACACCUCCCCGAAGGGAAGCUGCUCACAGCCAGGGUCCUACGGUAGGUGCCUUCCCGUUCUCUCUCUCUGUAAUGUGAAUCAAACCCCUUUCUCCAGGAGCCCUGGGAGGAGAUUUCAGGGUGAACUGUAAACAUAAUGGCUUGCGUAGUGGUGUUCAGAUGAAUAAAAGGCCUUUGUUUGGAACUUUCUCCCCCAGUGCCUGUGAACCCUCAGAAUUAUUGUCAUCUCUCUGUCCCAGCUCUACUGUUAUUUUUAUUUUUAUUAUUUUGAGACAGAGUCUCGCUUUGUCAUCCAGGCUGGAGUGCAGUGGUGUGANNNNNNNNNNGGCUGGAGUGCAGUGGUGUGAUCUUGGCUCAUUGCAACCUCUGCCUUCCAGGUUCAAGCAAUUCUCAUGACUCAGCCUCCCGAGUAGCUGAGACUGCCGGUAUGCACCACCAUGCCUGGCUAAUUUUUGUAUUUUUAGUAGAGAGGGGGUUUCGCCAUGUUGGCCAGGCUGGUCUCGAACUCCUGACUUCAAAUGAUCGGCCCGCCUCAGCUUCUUAAAGUGUUGGGGUUACAGGUGUGAGCCACCACACCUGGCUUCUACUGUUAUUUUAUAUACUGGUAUGCAUAUGCAUGUGUGUGUGUGUGAAAAUUUUGUUAUCUAAAUAAAUGUAUUUACAAAGAAAACUUUUAUGUCACUGCUAUAAAGUUUCCCCAGUG